UUGGGGGCAAAUACCUCUGCUUUUGGUUCAAUGUGAUAAGAACCCUAGAAACAAAGUUGAGUUCACCAUUGUAGAAGCUACUCUAGUUAAGUUCGCAGUUGGAGUAGAAGCUCUAUCUGUUCGUGCUGCAACGAAAGACGAAGAAGAGUGGAGAAAGAGCAUGAAAACGCACACUCACACUCUCCCUCUCCCUCCGGAGUUGAUAAGAGAAAUUCUCCUCAGUUUGCCGGUGAAUUCUCUUUUGCAAUGCAAGCGUGUGUGUAAGGCAUGGCUUUCUCUUAUUUCCGAUCCACAAUUUUUCAUUUCCCAUUACGACCUAGCUGUGUCGCACCCUCCCAUGAUAAACUGCUUCUCAUAGCAAAUGAUUUCUAUGCCGAAUCCAUUGAUAUUGACUCACCGCUGCUUAUGUGUGCAUUGCGUUUGAUUCUCCCCCCUACAUCACCCCCAUACCGUGACCAAUACGAUGAGGUCGAUCAUCGCGGUAAACUUGAGAUUUUGGGUUCUUGCAGAGGGCUCAUACUUUUAUACUACGACCGUAGCUGUGAUCUCAUUCUAUGGAAUCCAUCAAUAGGUGUCCACAGAAUAUCACCCAAGUUUAAGUGUGGUCUAACCCUUGUGUAUCUCUAUGGUUUCGGGUAUGACACAUCCUCAGAUGACUACCUGCUAAUUCUUAUUGGAUUGUUGGAUGAAUACAAAUAUGAUUAUUAUGAUGAUGAGUCUAAAGAUAAUGAGUACAAAGUUGAUUACCAGAUUUUAUCCUUUAAUUCCUUCAAUGAGACUCUUCAUUGGUUGGUUUUCUCUACGAAGGAGAUUUUCAGAGAUUCCUCUGUUUGAUCAUUCCACUAUGGAGAAAUAUGAGCUUUGUAGUUUGAGGGUGAUGGGAGGAUGUCUCAGUGUGUGUUGCUCGGUCCGAGGCUGUGCUACGGAUGAAAUAUGGGCGAUGAAAGAAUAUAAAGUGGACUCGUCCUGGACUGAGUCCAUUGUUAUCCCUAACAAUGGGUUUUCCCCAAUAUGCAUCACCAAAGAUGGUGGAAUUAUUGGAUCAAAGGAAGUGGAAGAUUAGAGAAACUUAAUGACAAAGGAGAGCUGCUUGAGCAUUUCAUAUAUGGUGGAGGUGAAUGGUUGUACUCUGUCAAUCUACAGUCUGCUAUGUAUAGAGAGAGUCUCCUGUCACCCUCUAGUGUCAUUCGGGAAACACCAUAUGACCCUUGGAAAACAAGGGAAUGUGAUCGUUGGGAAACAAGUGAAGAUGACCAAUGGUAACGGACAAGAAAAAUCAGGGUCACGAAAUGUGCAAGAAUGCAUACAGCUGCCUUGAAGUCACUUUCCUACAAAUGGUGUGACUGCUAGCAAAUAGCAUAGAAGUUGGAAGAGAAUGGCAUAUAUGUGAUAUUAAAUUAUCUAGUGUUAGUGCAGAACUAGUCUGCGGAGAUAUAAUUAAUCUUAAUCACCUGGGAGCAGAUAGAAGGGUUAAGGUGAAAGGGCUGUAACUAAUCAAGUUGUGAUAUGUACUGAUCUUGCAUGCAGUUGGUUUAACUUGUUCACGUUCUGAUCAGUGUCAAUAAGGUUUACAAAAAUCCGUGGGUAGUUGCGUAUGUAUGUUCAAAAGAUGAGCACAAACGGAUAUUCUAGCUCACAGGACAGGUAUAUUUUGGUAUUUAAAGCCUCGUUGGUGUCGGCUGCCUUGGUAUAUUUUGGUAUAUGAUGAAUUCGGUUAUAACAGUUUUAUAUUUCAAUGGAAGGGUAAACGAAGAGAGCGAUGGUGUGACAUUUGAAGGCAGUAAAAAAGCGGUUCAGAUUAAACGUGAGAUAAGUUUCAAUGCUUUGAAAAAAAAAUUGGAG